AUUGAACGCUGGCGGCAUGCCUUACACAUGCCAGUCGAACGGCAGCACGGGUGCUUGCCCCUGGUGGCGAGUGGCGAACGGGUGGGUAAUACAUCGGAACAUGUCCUGUAGUGGGGGAUAGCCCGGCGAAAGCCGGAUUAAUACCGCAUACGAUCUACGGAUGAAAGCGGGGGACCUUCGGGCCUCGCGCUAUAGGGUUGGCCGAUGGCUGAUUAGCUAGUUGGUGGGGUAAAGGCCUACCAAGGCGACGAUCAGUAGCUGGUCUGAGAGGACGACCAGCCACACUGGGACUGAGACACGGCCCAGACUCCUACGGGAGGCAGCAGUGGGGAAUUUUGGACAAUGGGCGAAAGCCUGAUCCAGCAAUGCCGCGUGUGUGAAGAAGGCCUUCGGGUUGUAAAGCACUUUUGUCCGGAAAGAAAUCCUUGGCUCUAAUACAGUCGGGGGAUGACGGUACCGGAAGAAUAAGCACCGGCUAACUACGUG
rnacentral:rRNA from 1 species